CCCAGACUGGCCCCUCUGUUCAGGUUUACUGUGUGGUCAAGCCUUGAAGAAGGAUUGAGGAUUAUCAAAGAAAAAGGGGGAUUGAAACCUAGCAGGACCCUGCAGAGAUCUCCCAGGAAGUAAGACCCUUAUCCAGGUGGAGGUCAAGCUGAGCACAAGCAGGUACAUCCCAGACUGGUUGGAACCAGA